UACGGAGGGAGCUAGCGUUGUUCGGAUAUACUGGGCGUAAAGCGCACGUAGGCGGCGCAGCAAGUCAGGGGUGAAAUCCCGGAGCUCAACUCCGGAACUGCCUUUGAAACUGCAGUGCUAGAAUCCUGGAGAGGCGAGUGGAAUUCCGAGUGUAGAGGUGAAAUUCGUAGAUAUUCGGAAGAACACCAGUGGCGAAGGCGACUCGCUGGACAGGUAUUGACGCUGAGGUGACGAAACGGUGGGAGCAAACAGG
rnacentral:rRNA from 1 species